GUGCCAGCAGCGGCGGUAAUACGGAGGGUGCAAGCGUUAAUCGGAAUUACUGGGCGUAAAGCGCACGCAGGCGGUCUGUCAAGUCGGAUGUGAAAUCCCCGGGCUCAACCCGGGAACUGCAUUCGAAACUGGCAGGCUGGAGUCUCGUAGAGGGGUAGAAUUCAGGUGUAGCGGUGAAAUGCGUAGAGAUCUGGAGGAAUACCGGUGGCGAAGGCGGCCCCCUGGACGAAGACUGACGCUCAGUGCGAAAGCGUGGGAGCAAACAGGAUUAGAUACCCUGGUAGUCCACGCCGUAAACGAU
rnacentral:rRNA from 1 species